rnacentral:rRNA from 2 species
AAACCAACAGGGAUUGCCUCAGUAACGGCGAGUGAAGCGGCAAAAGCUCAAAUUUGAAAUCUAGCACCGUCGGUGUUCGAGUUGUAAUUUGAAGAUGGUAACCUUGGGAUUGGCUCUUGUCUAUGUUCCUUGGAACAGGACGUCAUAGAGGGUGAGAAUCCCGUCUGAUGAGAUGCCCAUUCCUUUGUAAGGUGCUAUCGAAGAGUCGAGUUGUUUGGGAAUGCAGCUCUAAGUGGGUGGUAAAUUCCAUCUAAAGCUAAAUAUUGGCGAGAGACCGAUAGCGAACAAGUACAGUGAUGGAAAGAUGAAAAGAACUUUGAAAAGAGAGUGAAAAAGUACGUGAAAUUGUUGAAAGGGAAGGGCAUUAGAUCAGACUUGGUGUUUUACGAUUAUCUUCUCUUCUUGAGUUGUGCACUCGUAUUUCACUGGGCCAGCAUCGAUUCGGAUGGCAAGAUAAUGACAGUCGAACGUAGCUUCACUUGUGGAGUGUUAUAGCUUCUGUUGAUAUUGCCUGUCUGGAUCGAGGGCUGCGUCUUUUGACUAGGAUGCUGGCGUAAUGAUCUAAUGCCGC